CAUGGGCAGAAAGGUGAAAAUUGUGGCCAGAGGCAGAUUGUGGUAAAUUACAAAAUUGGCUCAUAAUCCUUUAUUCCUUCUUGCCUCCAUGCUCUUUGCAAUGUGACUUUGCCACUUUUCUCAUUAAGAGAUGGAUUCUGUUCUCCAUUGCCUUCUGUCUGGACUGGUCUUGUAACUUGUUCUGGUUAAUACAGAGGUAAAUGUGAUGACACAUCAGAAGCCCAGGCCUCAAGCAAGCUUUCCCACUUGUUCUCUUGGAACCCUUCCCAGCUAUCAGGUAAAUAAGCCCAGGCUAUUGUGCUGGAUGAUGAGAGGUCACUGGAACACUGAUGAGCCAUAACAGCUGAGGCCAUUCUAGAAUAGGCAGCUUUAGCCAACCAGGCAGCUGACUGCAGAUACAGGCCUGCAUCCAGAUGAGUCCAGAAAAGCAACCUAGACACUACUGGCAAAGACAUUGAAAAGAAUCACACUGCUAAACCAGUAGCAGCUUUUAUCUUCUUCUCAGAUUGUAUACAUGCAGGAUAAAAGUGUUUCUAACACAUAGACUUCUAUAUUCCAGCAUAAAGAUGUAUUAGGCGCAUUUAUACUUUUACAUCGAAGCCUGUUUCAACAUGAACGGAGCCCAGGGAAGUUGGUGACUUAAUCCUCGUUAUACCCUGAUUUUGGACAAAUUUUACAAGAAGAAUAGGACUUCUACUUCUCUAUGUCUACAUGCACCUGGAACAGUGCUAGGUCUAUGCUUACAAAUUGAUUGGUUCAGGUCACCGCCAUGAGCCUCAGGACAGAAAAUUGCCGGAUAUGAGAGAGAGAGAGAGAUUUGACUGGGCUAAGAAAGAAAUGAACACGAUUUAGAGAUGGAAAUGGUGACAUAUGGGCCUUUGAAGCCUCCCAUGUUCCAGAGAAGGUGAGGUUUCACCAUGUUAGUCAGGAUGGUCUCGAUCUC
rnacentral:lncRNA from 1 species